rfam:Coprococcus sp. CAG:782 genomic scaffold, scf199
GGGAGGUUGCACCUAUGUGCUGAAAGCACAUAUCGGAAUGGUGCAAUCGACCUGCAUCCCAUCGAAUGUGAGGGGACGAUACCCAAU